rnacentral:sRNA from 1 species
AAAAAAUUCAAUACACAUAACAUUGGAGACUCUCAUAAAGAAGGAUCUCCCUCCUUAUUCUAGUCAUCAAGAGGUUAUCAGUGGCUACGUGAACUUGUGGCUUGUUCAGAUGGAUGCCUUAGAAUUCCGUUGUAAGGAGUGUCACAAAAGGGCGGAAGCACAGUACACACUAGAUUCAGUAAGAGCGUCUUUGGCUAGACAAGAAGACACCAUCAUAUUUGCUUUGAUUGAAAGAGCCAAGUUUCCUUUGAAUCCUCAAUGCUACACUCGGCCUAUCGUUUCAGAAGGAUAUUGCGGUCCAAUGUUUGACGC